GACGAACGCUGGCGGCGUGCCUAAUACAUGCAAGUAGAACGCUGAAGAGAGGAGCUUGCUCUUCUUGGAUGAGUUGCGAACGGGUGAGUAACGCGUAGGUAACCUGCCUUGUAGCGGGGGAUAACUAUUGGAAACGAUAGCUAAUACCGCAUAACAAUGGAUGACACAUGUCAUUUAUUUGAAAGGGGCAAUUGCUCCACUACAAGAUGGACCUGCGUUGUAUUAGCUAGUAGGUGAGGUAAUGGCUCACCUAGGCGACGAUACAUAGCCGACCUGAGAGGGUGGUCGGCCACACUGGGACUGAGACACGGCCCAGACUCCUACGGGAGGCAGCAGUAGGGAAUCUUCGGCAAUGGGGGCAACCCUGACCGAGCAACGCCGCGUGAGUGAAGAAGGUUGUCGGAUCGUAAAGCUCUGUUGUAAGUCAAGAACGGGUGUGAGAGUGGAAAGUUCACACUGUGACGGUAGCUUACCAGAAAGGGACGGCUAACUACGUG
rnacentral:rRNA from 1 species